rnacentral:rRNA from 1 species
GGACGAACGCUGGCGGCGUGCUUACCCCAUGCAAGUCGAACGGAAGGGCCCUGCUUUUGUGGGGUGCUCGAGUGGCGAACGGGUGAGUAACACGUGAGUAACCUGCCCUUGACUUUGGGAUAACUUCAGGAAACUGGGGCUAAUACCGGAUAGGAGCUCCUGCUGCAUGGUGGGGGUUGGAAAGUUUCGGCGGUUGGGGAUGGACUCGCGGCUUAUCAGCUUGUUGGUGGGGUAGUGGCUUACCAAGGCUUUGACGGGUAGCCGGCCUGAGAGGGUGACCGGCCACAUUGGGACUGAGAUACGGCCCAGACUCCUACGGGAGGCAGCAGUGGGGAAUAUUGCACAAUGGGCGGAAGCCUGAUGCAGCAACGCCGCGUGCGGGAUGACGGCCUUCGGGUUGUAAACCGCUUUCGCCUGUGACGAAGCGUGAGUGACGGUAAUGGGUAAAGAAGCACCGGCUAACUACGUG